GUGGUCAUCAAUUUCCUGCGUGAGGGAGAUUUGUACACCCUCAUCAAUACCAUCUAACUUCUCACACAACCUGCCACUCGCGAAUAUGAAAAGACUUCAACUCUUAAAAAACAUUUUCUAGAUCAGUGGUGCUGGAAGAGCACAGCAAUUCAGGCUGCAUCCGAGGACAGGCAAAAUCGACGUUUCGGGCAAAAGCCCUUCAUCAGGAAUAAAAACCUCUUAAAAAACAUUGGCAACUCCACUGGGGAUGGGAGGAGCAAUGUCAGUUCCCCAUAUCCCACCUCAUCCAGGAAGUGAAACAGAUGAAAAGACUCCGACUCUUAAAAAACAUUGGCAACUCCACUGGGGAUUGGAGGAGCAAUGUCAGUUCCCCAUAUCCCACCUCAUCCAGGAAGUGAAACAGGUCAAGAGAAGUACAUCUAUUCAAACGAUAUAUUCAUGAAAUAGAAGCCAUCUCAGAUACUCCUGUUUCAACAAACUUGUUAACAAAUCGUUCACAGAAUCGUUAGAAUGAUUGCUCGGAGGAGAAUGUGAGCAAAUUUAUGAUUUCAACUGGAUUUAUUGAUCGGAAUUAAGCGCACAUGUCAAUUUCUUAGGAAUAAUAUUUAUGCAAUUAAAAGGUGAUAACAAAAUGAAGUUCGCCAAAUAAUGACACCUUGUAUCAUUCUCAAAGAUGCGUUAUAGUCCAACACAACCACCAGGUGGAGCUAACCCUAAGCACCU